rnacentral:rRNA from 1 species
CGCGGCCUAUCAGCUUGUUGGUGGGGUAAUGGCCUACCAAGGCGACGACGGGUAGCCGGCCUGAGAGGGUGACCGGCCACACUGGGACUGAGACACGGCCCAGACUCCUACGGGAGGCAGCAGUGGGGAAUAUUGCACAAUGGGCGCAAGCCUGAUGCAGCGACGCCGCGUGAGGGAUGACGGCCUUCGGGUUGUAAACCUCUUUCAGCAGGGAAGAAGCGAGAGUGACGGUACCUGCAGAAGAAGCGCCGGCUAACUACGUGCCAGCAGCCGCGGUAAUACGUAGGGCGCAAGCGUUGUCCGGAAUUAUUGGGCGUAAAGAGCUCGUAGGCGGCUUGUCACGUCGGAUGUGAAAGCCCGAGGCUUAACCUCGGGUCUGCAUUCGAUACGGGCUAGCUAGAGUGUGGUAGGGGAGAUCGGAAUUCCUGGUGUAGCGGUGAAAUGCGCAGAUAUCAGGAGGAACACCGGUGGCGAAGGCGGAUCUCUGGGCCAUUACUGACGCUGAGGAGCGAAAGCGUGGGGAGCGAACAGGAUUAGAUACCCUGGUAGUCCACGCCGUAAACGUUGGGAACUAGGUGUUGGCGACAUUCCACGUCGUCGGUGCCGCAGCUAACGCAUUAAGUUCCCCGCCUGGGGAGUACGG